UACGGGGGGGCAAGCGUUGUUCGGAAUUACUGGGCGUAAAGGGCUCGUAGGCGGCCAACUAAGUCGGAUGUGAAAUCCCCAAGCUUAACUUGGGAACUGCAUCCGAUACUGGAUGGCUUGAAUCCGGGAGAGGGAAGCGGAAUUCCUGGUGUAGCGGUGAAAUGCGUAGAGAUGUGGAGGAACACCAGUGGCGAAGGCGGCUCGCUGGGUCGUUCCUGACGCUGAGGAGCGAAAGCCAGGGGAGCAAACGGG
rnacentral:rRNA from 1 species